rnacentral:rRNA from 1 species
AGGGCUUCCGUAAGGGGGCCCUGCGGAAGGAUCAUUA